rnacentral:rRNA from 1 species
AUUGAACGCUGGCGGCAUGCUUAGCACAUGCAAGUCGAACGGAAACAGCAGAGCUUGCUCUGGCUGUCGAGUGGCGGACGGGUGAGUAACGCGUGGGAAUCUACCCAGUAGUGGGGGAUAGCCAGGAGAAAUCCUGAUUAAUACCGCAUACGAUCUACGGAUGAAAGGUGGCCACUCCUUGGAAGCUAUCGCUAUUGGAUGAGCCCGCGUUAGAUUAGCUAGUUGGUGGGGUAAAGGCCUACCAAGGCGACGAUCUAUAGCUGGUCUGAGAGGAUGAUCAGCCACAUCGGGACUGAGACACGGCCCGGACUCCUACGGGAGGCAGCAGUGGGGGAAUAUUGGACAAUGGGCGCAAGCCUGAUCCAGCAAUGCCGCGUGUGUGAAGAAGGCCUUAGGGUUGUAAAGCACUUUCAUUGUGAGAAGGGUUAAGGUUAAUACCUUCGUAUCUUUGACGUUAACUUUAGUAAGAAGACACCGGCGUAACU